GUGGCAACUCGGAAGCGCUCUGAGAAGAGGUCGCAGAAGGGCUUCCCAUCCUCUCUCCGGUUGGCCCUCUGUUCCUUAGUGCCAGGGAUUGAACCCAGGGCCUCACACGUACUAGAGUGCCUGCUCCUGUCCCUGAGAAGGGAGGUGAUGGAGUUCCUGGGGAGGAACCCUUCUACCCUGCAUGCCUACCUGCUAUAUGGAAGCUGCUACAGAACAUAAUAAGCAGAACUGCACAUGCUGACAGAUUCCCCAGAACACACUGCCAUGAAGACACCUAUCUACCUAGGGUCUACACUGGAAGAGACACCAAAGAGACAUUGUCAGAAUUUGCUUGCACAGGAGAAAGAAGAAGAAAAGUCAGAUAAGGUUUUAAAAUUUGGAUGAGUAAACUGUGACCUUAGCAAGUGA